GAUGAACGCUGGCGGCGUGCCUAAUACAUGCAAGUCGAGCGAACAGACGAGGAGCUUGCUCCUCUGACGUUAGCGGCGGACGUGUGAGUAACACGUGGAUAACCUACCUGUCAGACUGGGAUAACUUCGGGACACCGGAGCUAAUACCGGAUAAUAUAUUGAACCGCAUGGUUCAAUAGUGAAAGACGGCUUUGCUGUCACUUCUAGAUGGAUCCGCGCCGCAUUAGCUAGUUGUUAAGGUAACGGCUUACCAAGGCAACGAUGCGUAGCCGACCUGAGAGGGUGAUCGGCCACACUGGAACUGAGACACGGUCCAGACUCCUACGGGAGGCAGCAGUAGGGAAUCUUCCGCAAUGGGCGAAAGCCUGACGGAGCAACGCCGCGUGAGUGAUGAAGGUCUUCGGAUCGUAAAACUCUGUUAUUAGGGAAGAACAAAUGUGUAAGUAACUAUGCACGUCUUGACGGUACCUAAUCAGAAAGCCACGGCUAACUACGUG
rnacentral:rRNA from 1 species